rnacentral:lncRNA from 1 species
UCUGCUGUAUGCUAAACCUGAUGUAGUGUGAUAAUGUAAUUUUCUCCUGUAGUCUCUGCUUCCCCCAGUCAGACUGAGAUGGAGGCAGACAGUAAUGUGACUCUCCACUGCAUCCUGCACGCAUCUAACCACGAUGGAGAUGAAUUUAUUCUGAGCUGGGUGGAUGACACAGGGAAAGAGCUGCAGAACAAUAGCUAUCGACAGAUCAGAACCUCAUCUCCCAUUUCUAUCACACUGACUGAGGAGCUCAGAGGUCCAAACCCUGUUCAUACUCGGACAUGCCAGGUGACUUCAGGAGGACAGGUUCAGACUUCUGUCUCCCACACCAUCAGAGUGAAAGUGGUCCAUAUGGCUGUUAAAGUUGCUACCACUAUCAGUCUGUUUGUGGCUGUGAUCAUAGUUGAAGUAAUUUGCAGGAUGAGAUCAGGUGAUCCCCAUGGCGAACCGAACACCUCUGCUCGUAGGGUUCACUCUGCUGCAACCAGUGACUCCUUGUAGCCUUGUAUUCCUUGUGGGCUCUUGAGACGCAACUGGUGCCAGACUCUUCAUCACCUAAAUCAACCUUCAUCACCUGCACUGGAGCUACAGGAUACCAGGCUAGCAGGCUGCAGUGAUACUAUACCUGCUUUAAGGUGGCAUCAAUGUUCAACUUCAAGACGUCUCAAACCUCAAUGAGGUUUUUUUUUAAAUUAUCUUACAUUAACCGUGUGCUGGUUUGGCUCUGACUGGUUCGCUUAGCAGUACUUUUAUGAGGGAGAUUUGGGAUCAUUUUGUGUUUUACAAUAAUCAAUGUGCUAUUGUGCUUAGUUGAGAGUUUUCUUUUUCAUGUGUGUAAGUUUGAAAUGCUCUCCUUUUUCUGUCCCUGAGUUUUUAUGAAUGUAUCAUACCUUAUGGUGUGGACAUGAAAUCCUUCUAUAGAGUUAAGUGAGGAAUAUAUUAGCAGAGCUUUGGAUUUGUUACUUUUACCUUGUAUUGCUUGUAACUUUCCCCGGUGCCGUGAAUAAAGCUGCAGUCUCACACCGUUGUUGCCUGAAA